rnacentral:tRNA from 2 species
GGAAUAGUUUUCAGUGGUAAGAUAGAAUGAUUGCUAAUUGUUCGGGUAAAACCCAUAGGUGUUCGAGUCACCUCUAUUCCG